AUCUGCAGCCAUAUCACCCUCCAGCCCAAGACUGGUUGCCCACUGAAGCUAAGUAGGGUUGAGCCUGGUCAGUACCUGGAUUGGAGACCUCCUGGGAAAACUAGGUUGCUGCUGGAA
rnacentral:rRNA from 1 species